rnacentral:rRNA from 1 species
UACAGAGGGGGCAAGCGUUGUUCGGAAUUACUGGGCGUAAAGGGCGCGUAGGCGGCCUGUUAAGUGGAACGUGAAAUCCCCGGGCUCAACCCGGGAACUGCGUCCGAUACUGGCAGGCUUGAAUCCGGGAGAGGGAUGCGGAAUUCCAGGUGUAGCGGUGAAAUGCGUAGAUAUCAGGAGGAACACCCGUAGCGAAGGCGGCACUCUGGGCCGGAACUGACGCUGAGGAGCGAAAGCGUGGGGAGCGAACGGG